GACGAACGCUGGCGGCGUGCUUAACACAUGCAAGUCGAACGGAAAGGCCCUGCUUUUGUGGGGUGCUCGAGUGGCGAACGGGUGAGUAACACGUGAGUAACCUGCCCUUGACUUUGGGAUAACUUCAGGAAACUGGGGCUAAUACCGGAUAGGAGCUCCUGCUGCAUGGUGGGGGUUGGAAAGUUUCGGCGGUUGGGGAUGGACUCGCGGCUUAUCAGCUUGUUGGUGGGGUAGUGGCUUACCAAGGCUUUGACGGGUAGCCGGCCUGAGAGGGUGACCGGCCACAUUGGGACUGAGAUACGGCCCAGACUCCAACGGGAGGCAGCAGUGGGGAAUAUUGCACAAUGGGCGGAAGCCGGAUGCAGCAACGCCGCGUGCGGGAUGACGGCCUUCGGGUUGUAAACCGCUUUCGCCUGUGACGAAGCGUGAGUGACGGUAAUGGGUAAAGAAGCACCGGCUAACUACGUG
rnacentral:rRNA from 1 species